CACACACACACAGACACUGAACUGGCCAGUAUUGCUAAUCUUCUUAGCAAUCACAAGGUUUGACUGUUGAAAGAGUGCAAAGUUCACAUCAUCAACAACAACAGAGGUUCCUGCCAAUGAGGGAGAGCUGAAGAGACAGAUAAAGAAGACAGACAGUCAUAAAAGACGAGAGCAUUAAUCGAAUCACAGCCGUUACCUCUGGACUGAAGCAGCCAUCUUUACUCCAUGAGGAAUUAUUCUUUGGAUUAUUACCUUCAGCAGUGAAACCUGAUGUCACACACUGACGCUGACUGAACUUUAAAGCUUUUAAGUCUUAAAGUUAUGUGACAGCCGUCGGGAAAACGUCACCUUUGACUUCCAUUUAAUUCCUGGCUGGUGAAGAAGAUACACAUCAGCACAGACAGCUGUCAUGACAACUGUGCAUUAGCUCACUGAUCAUAUUUGGCAGCCAUCUGGAGGUCACUCCUACCUACAUCCAUUUAAACUUGCCUCUCCAGGGAACCUGAAGACGGAGCAGUAUGGAGGUGCUCAGUGGCCCCUGGGCUGACUUGGCUCUGCUCCUGCGACGAACCAUCGCGCAGACACACGGAGAGACGGACAGCUUUCUUCCUCUCUGGCUGUUUGGCCUGCUGCUGUUCCUGUCUGUCUGUCUGCUGCUGCUGCAACUCAUCAUCUACCUCAGCUGGAAACUCAGACAGGUUGAGGCAGAUCUUUCUGGGUUUCCACAAGACAGAGACGCCAUCUACAGGCAGAUACACAGAAGUACAGAGCAGAGGAGAAGGAGUGCUGGGUUGCACUCUCACACCUGACAGCAGACACACACUUCAUCAACACAACAGACUCUCAAAACCUGCUGAAAUGAACUUUCGUCUGACUGUUUCAAACAGUGCUGUCAGUCAGCGUGGGUAUCUGUGCAGAGACAAGUGACCAGCGUGGACAUAUCCCAGGCAGGAUGAAGGUGCCUUAACAAGUAACUAAAAUCCUUAGUUAUAAUAAAAUCUGUGAAAAUUCUUGUUUAAAACCCUCAGGGAAAUCUGGAAGUUAUUAAGACGACUGUCUCUAACCUUCUGACAUCAUUAUGAAGCUACAGGCAUCUCUUGGAGCUGUAUUUAUUUUCCACCCUCUUGUUAAAUUUGAGAAACUGUCACCCUGAAAUUAUCAUUUUUGCACAGCUCUAAGUUUCAUUAUUAGACUGUCUGUGCAACAAUACUGGAGACUGGUUAGUUUUUUAAAUGAACCAAUAAAUGGAUAAAGAAAUGAUGUGUCCGAGACAUGUCAGAGUAUAACAAUCCUUUAUUUAAACAGUGUUACACGGGGGAGGAGUGGCUGUGUGUGGGGAGAGACACAAGACAGUUAAGCUGCUAGAUAGAAAAACCCUACCAGUGAUCAUUGGUUGGCUAAAGACGGAGCGAAGAGGCAGCUGGGGUCGGUUUUCCAAAAAUGUUCCUUUACAAAGUUUCUGUCGGUGUCAAAGUACAAAAAGGUGCUGGUAUCAACUGUCACUCAUCUGUGCUGCAAAGCCUGAGACACAACUGUGAAGAAACCAGUCAAAUUAUUAUCUGUAUUUUCAAACAGCUACAUGUUAAUUAGAUUUAACGGCAGUAUAUUGAUGGUGUUCGCCCUCUGUGGUGUUGACAUCCCUGACAGUCUUAAAAUCAGCUGGCGUAGAAUCAUCAUCAGUUGCUGUUCCGUUGCUGUGGCAACCACUUUGGUCUCUGUUUACUUCCUGUCAGCUACUGAAACAACAAACAUCACAACAGGAAAUACAAAGGAGGCCCAUUUAGAAUGUUUACGUUGUCAUGGUAACAGAGCUUCCAACAUUUUAUCUGUGCUGUUUUUUUCAAUUUUAAUCAAAGUUAGUGAUGGCGAGACGUUCCUGUGUGAUCGCACUUUAGGAUUAACCUCAAAUAAAAUUUUGUGCUACCGACAUUUUUGGAAAACCAGACCUGGCAGCGCCCCAAAGCUCCUGUGAUUGGUUAAAACAGAGCCCAGACCCCCCGGAAAACACAGGGGGGCCGAAAGUACAAAAAAGAAAUGGUGGCAGAAAAAUUUGCUUUAUAGUGGUGGUUCCUUCAAUGUCAAAAACACUGUGACAAUAUUACAAAUAUCCAAGAGGGCGCACAAUAAAUCCCACCUUUCAACGACUUGAUCAGUUUCACAGAGAAAAGACGACAAAUGCUGAGAAAAUCUACAAAUAUGGUUUUUAAAAGUUGUUUUUUUGUCUUUUUUUUUGGAACAGCAAAAGCUUCCAAAGCUGCCAAGUGUUGCACUGUUUUAUCUGUUAAAGUUUUUCUGCUGCUUUGCAAGAGGGUUAGAGGUUAAAGCUUUCUUUCCUCUCGUCUGGAAUGUCAUUUAACUGCAUAGUAGAGGUCAGACCAGUGUUUCCCAAUAAAAAGCCUAGACGGUCGAUACCGCUCCAUCAUCUGGACGUGCCUCAGGCCAGACAGGAAGUCCUAAACUGGCGAUAAAUUAAGAGGCACGUAUUUUAAAUGUGGAGAUUGUAUGUUAAUAAAUGACUCCAAUUAAAUCCGCAUUCAGGUCCAGUCAGACUGGAGGGUUAAGACAAAUCUAGGCAGGUACAGGUGGAAUGUUUUUUAUCAUCAAUCUGUGGCACUUCUUCACUCACAAUCUGUUCAAUCUCAACAGACCGUGUUCUUGUUUUCACAGCUCACACUGAAAAUCUGUGUUGACUAAAAUGCGUUCUUGUUCUAACCCGUUUAAUGCCACCAAUAUUUACACAAAGUCACAUUUUUGUGGAACAUUUGGGUAAAAGGACACCGAAACAAUGAAUAAAACAUCACGAGAUUCCAUUUAGGGGUUUCAAGAGCACUUCAAACCCUCAGACACGCUUCCCUUUCAGCUGCAUUUGGCUGUUGUGUUGUAACUGUUUCCAUGUCUGUUCGUAGUUCACUGGCAGAUUCAUGUUCCUGCUUUCUGUUAAAAUAGAGUGGAAUACAAUGUAUUUUGAAACAGCUCAAAAACAUAAAAAAAUCAAUUUAAUGCUGAUAAGAUUUGGUUGCGGUGAAACAGUUACAACGCAGCCAGCAUCAGGUCAAAGAUUAUCUCCUCUAGACGUACUGUAUGAGCCCAAAUCAUCUCUUAUCUACACACUCUCAAACCAAUCAACACAGUAGCCUUCCAUCUAGACUCGCUCAAGAUAAAAAAUGUGUGAACCAUGCUGAAUUUAUUCCCAGAUCUCAUUCUAUCUAACAGGGUUGUUCUCAUUAUCUACUCUGGUAUGAGAAAAGAAGCUGGGAGUGAAACUAAGUGCUGAGCUAUGACGACAAACAGGCUCUGAUGCAGAGUUAGCAAACUGGUAGAAACUCCGUUGUUAUGAAUAUGGGACAGAACUGUUUUUCAACUUGUUCCGACUGUAUGUCCUCAUUUUGGUGCCUGUGCUUCAAUUGCAGAUUGUGUGUUAAAGGGUACGUUUGGUAUUUUUCAAUCUGAGCUUUUUUUCCAUGCUAUUGUGCCUGAGUGACGAAUGGAGACAACAGCUUUUGAAACUGGUCCAGUGUUGAGUGAGAGCACUGCAGCAGACAGCGGCAAAUCAGGCUGCAAUGUAAUCGCUUGGGGCAAUUGUGCACCGUCAAUUCAUGUCCACUGAAAGUGCUUGUUUUGCCACUGACAGGCUCAGAUUAUUAGUGUCUGACAACUUAUGGAAAGGAUCCCUACAGAGAUAGAGCUUUAUGCUGAAGUGUAAGAUCAUUUCAGUUCAACCUGUAAUCAUCAUCACUAACCCCCAAAAGACUCCAUUUUAAUAAACAGUCAUUUCAUCAUCGUGAAACACACUUUACUCUAAAGGCCAAAACACACCGACAGUGAACGCCAUGCAUCAACAACUAUGCCCCUAUUAUUUUCAAUGCACCCCACACUAACGGCGGCUAGACACCUGUCAGCGCUUCUGGACACGCCGCCACUGUCCUGUUUCCAGCCUCGCCAACCCCAGAAUUAAAAGCAUUUUUCCCCACUCACUCUCGGCUUGUAUGUACCGGCUCCUGUUGCAGCUCUUUUUCUCUGCUCCUACGGCAGCUCGACUUGUCUCCACACCAUCGAUUCAUAAAGAGAACUCUCUGCUGUCUCCUGUGGGACAAAGACUAGAUGACGAGAGACUGAUUGUUGAGGUUGAGAAAUAUCCCCAACUAAACGACCCAUGAUCCCAUCAUUUUAAAGGCAGUGGCCAAAAAGAUAUUGCCUGGUGAGUCAUCACUCCAUCGCUCUUCAGUGAGAAAUCAAGUUUAAUUCGGGGGUCUCCACACGUGAUUUAAAGCUAACGCAGAGGUGAAAGAGGCACAGAUCUUUCAGCAGAAUUAACUUUGUGUAGCAGUCUGUUAACAAGUUGCAGUGCAAUGUGUCCGGUGUGAGUUAGGGGGCGCCGUGCCUCAGUGUGUCUUCAGCUUAAGUCGACAGAUACAAAAUAAAACUCUCUAAACCUGUCUUGGUUUGUCUGGUUUGGCUGAAAUAAACCCUUCAUUCUCCCAGUUAGAUGUGAGAACAUGCUAACGUGAUUAACACUAGAAUGUUUAUCUGAAUGGAGUCUGGUGGGUUUGGCUUGAGUGAUUCUUGGGGCUGUUUAUGCUUUAACAAAAAGCUCUAUCUCUGUGGGGAUCCUUUCCAUAAGUUGUCAGAAUAACAAUCUGUGCCUGUGAGCGGCAAAAGCAAGCAAUUUUAGUGGACGUACAUUGACAGCGCACAGUUGCCCCAUGUUGUUACAUUGCAACCUGUUUGCAGCUGCCAACAGCAGCCCUCUCGCUCAACACUGGACCAAUCUCAAACCUCUCCGUCUCCAUUCGUCACUUAGACACAAAAACAAGGGAGGAAAGAGUCAAGGUUGAAAAACACCAAACUUACCCUUUAAGUAUUGUCCUAAGAAUAUUAAAACAGCUUUAACUCGCUGCCGAAUGCAAAAUAACGUGAGUGAAACUUGCCGUAGAGUGAGGCCAACAUGCAUCAAUUCUUUUUUAACUCCCAAAGGUGUUAGUUGGCACCACACAGUGCCGCCGAUAUCUCCCAAUCAUCCUCCAGUUUACUGGUCCUCUCUCCCAAUCAAAGGUCAGUUUACUGCUCCCUUACUUCCCUGUGACCCAACAGGAAUGGCUAGUGUCGUACAGUGGGCGGGCCCAGGGAGAGCGCUUAGCUAACGACAAGCUGCAUUACUGCUCCCAUCUAAUAACCUUCAUCUUUACUGUACAGAGAGUUGUAUACACCAGCUUUAAAGUCAGCUCAUUUUCAGUCCAUUUAGUAAAAGUGAAUUCUAAAAUACAGUGAAACACUAGGAAUUAUAUUCACCUGCAUCGUUUGGCUUCUCCUGCUUAGUUAAUGUGAUCCAAUAAAGAUUCCUUCCGUUCCCACCGACUGUAAAGGGUGAACAGUCUUUUCUUCUCAGAGUUGAGUACAAAGUGAAGUGAACUGAAAAUGAUCUCACUCAGCCGCCGGUCAACACACAAGGAAUGUGGAUGAAUCAUAACUAUACUUACAGAAAAAAAAGACAGAUCAUAAAAAUUCAAAAACCUGGUUGAUUGUUUUUUUUUUUACUGCAAUAUUUUAAGUUACAGCUCCCUGUGUUCUGUCAUUGUUUAGUAACAUAACGUGAUCAUGUGACAUGGCUCCCAUUCAUCUGAUGUGAACGUGUUUAAUGAGUAAGACUGUUUCAUUUUGUUACACUUUGAAAAAGUAAAAAACAUAAAGAGGUUGUGUCCUCCUGGUUUCUGCAGUCCUACUCGUUACUGUAAAAAAAUUGAAAUUACUGUGUUAUAUUAUUUCUCCAUAACGAAGUGAGGGAGCUGUAAUUUAACAAAUCACUUUUUUUUUAUUAAUUUUUUUUUAGGAAUGCACCAAUACCACUUCCCCUCUGCUGAUACAGAACAAAAAAUAUGAAAAUCUCAGCGUUAUUUUACAAAAAAAGAUGAAGAUAAAAAGCGUUCUCUAUUUAAGAUGGUCGUUAUCUUUUUAUCUAUCUUUACUCUGACUCGUGAGUAAGUGAAUAGUUACUGAAGGUCACUGCUACUGGUGAAA